AAGAAACACAAAAGGAUGCUUAUAGCUAUCAGUGAAUACUGAGGGGGUGAGGGGAGGCAAGUGAAUGGAAUUUUCCCAGCCAAGGCAGGAAAGCUGUGACAUUGUGACAUAGGGAACAAGGUUAAAAGUAGGGCACUGGACUCAGGAAGGCAGGAUCACAAAAAUCUUAGGAUAAUUAGCAGAUCUAUUGGAUUAUGCCAGAGAGAGUGGAAGGUAGUUAUAUAGAAUGGAGAAUACUGAAUUAGUCGGAAAUCAGAGUUUUUCAAGCACCUCCUGUGUUGGUAUAUGAUUUCAGAAAGUGUCUCAGCAGACUCCCUUGGGCAAUACUUCACAGACAUGACUGUGCACGCCAGUCACCCAGAGAUCAUGUUAAAAUGCACAUCUGGUUCAGCAGGCCUAGGUUUCUGUAUGUUAUAGAAGUUCAAAGAAGACAAACUCUAGCCAAGAGCAGUGUGAAGAAAAGAAGACGCUAUAUUAAUCACAGUCCAGGGAUGCCUUCUGGCUUCCUGGCAGCAAUUCCGGCCUGAGAUUCCUUCUCUGUGCAUACUUCCUGUCAACAUUGUGUGAUGUCAAGCUGUGGCCGUCACAAAAGUACUGUGAACACCUGUAAAUCCCAACUAUCAAAAAUCACACCCAGGAAUCCAAAUUAGCAUUAUUAUGUCAAAAGAAAAACCUGAUUUCUUCACUGUCUG
rnacentral:lncRNA from 1 species